rnacentral:rRNA from 1 species
UACGAAGGGGGCUAGCGUUGCUCGGAAUCACUGGGCGUAAAGGGCGCGUAGGCGGCCAUUCAAGUCAGGGGUGAAAGCCUGUGGCUCAACCACAGAAUUGCCUUUGAUACUGUUUGGCUAGAGACCGGAAGAGGUAAGUGGAACUGCGAGUGUAGAGGUGAAAUUCGUAGAUAUUCGCAAGAACACCAGUGGCGAAGGCGGCUUACUGGUCCGGUUCUGACGCUGAGGCGCGAAGGCGUGGGGAGCAAACAGG